GAUGAACGCUGGCGGCGUGCCUAAUACAUGCAAGUCGAGCGAACGGACGAGAAGCUUGCUCCUCUGACGUUAGCGGCGGACGGGUGAGUAACACGUGGAUAACCUACCUAUAAGACUGGGGUAACUUCGGGAAACCGGAGCUAAUACCGGAUAAUAUAUUGAACCGCAUGGUUCAAAAGUGAAAGACGGUCUUGCUGUCACUUAUAGAUGGAUCCGCGCUGCAUUAGCUAGUUGGUAAGGUAACGGCUUACCAAGGCAACGAUGCGUAGCCGACCUGAGAGGGUGAUCGGCCACACUGGAACUGAGACACGGUCCAGACUCCUACGGGAGGCAGCAGUAGGGAAUCUUCCGCAAUGGGCGAAAGCUUGACGGAGCAACGCCGCGUGAGUGAUGAAGGUCUUCGGAUCGUAAAACUCUGUUAUUAGGGAAGAACAUAUGUGUAAGUAACUGUGCACAUCUUGACGGUACCUAAUCAGAAAGCCACGGCUAACUACGUG
rnacentral:rRNA from 1 species